rnacentral:lncRNA from 1 species
UUGUUACAACACCUCCUGGUCACUCUAAUGUCUUUUAUCUAUUUCUUUUCUUACCAAUCAAAAUCAUGUUUCGUUUCAUUCCUAGAAAUUUUGUGGUUAUUGCUUUGAAGAGUUGUUUUGCUUUAUUGAAGGUUAAAGCCAUAAAGUACAUUGAAUUAUUAUAAACAAUAGUGUUUUUGCAAGUGAACUUGAUAAGUGAAAGUUGUUUGGUGCAUGUUGCUAUACUUUACUUGUGUUCUCAUUUCUUAUGCGCUUUGGGGUUCACCACCGUUCAAAGGGGUAGUGACUUCAUAUUUUGAUAGUUAGGCCAAUAAUUGAUGGCCACUGGCCAAUUCCUUUCUAAGAAAGCACAUCUUUCAUCUUUCAAACGUGGAACAGACAAAUCUAUCUCGAUCUAUAAUAGGGAUGAAUUUAGAAAUUUAUAAAACAAUGUAGAAUGAAUUUAAUGUCCGAGAUUGUUGGCCUUUUAAAUAGAGUUUAAAAGGUCAUACAUAUUAAUAUUAUAUCUCAUGGGUCUAUAAAUGUUGCGCUCACGAGGAUUAAUUGUACCAUCCAAAAAGACUUAGCGGCGCAACUUGUUCCGCUUUGCCUCCCACUCAUGUGUGAUAUGUUAAAAAUAUUGUUAUUUAAUUAUAUUUUUCAUACAAUUUAUUUUUUUACAAAUAUAUAUCAUGGACAUAAUGAUCUACCCAAACCAACUCAUUCAUCAAUGGAUUGGGUUAGUUUAAAGUAAAAAAUACGUUAAUUCUCUCCCCUCCCCAUCCCUUUAACGCACCCAUCACAUUUUAAAUUUUGCUUCUGUUCAAAUUUUAAAAUCUAAACCAUAAAAGUAUGCUUGAAAUUCUAGAAUCAAACCACGAAUAUAUAAGAAACAUGCUCAUCAUGGCCCCUUACUUCUUUAUUUAUGUUUUUCAACCUAAACGCUCCCAAACCCCCCAAUUCAAAAUUUCACCACUUUGUGUCAUUUUUCAACUUAAGUUGCCCGACCAUCACAUUUUAGAUGUUUUCAACUACUACACAAGAUGUUAGAACACAUUUGCUUAAAUUUAUGGUGGUUGAUUUACGUUUUUUCUUUGUUUCUAAAGUUUUGGUUUAGUUCAGACUUUAGAAUCCGCAAUGUUGUGUUCAUCAUUUCGGUUUAUAAAAUCUGAAAUAUGUUUAGGGAUCAUUAAUUUCUCUAUGAUUUUGUCAUCGUUUCAUAUAUGGAUGCACCUGCCAAUCGAGCCAAGGGUAAUAAGAUAUCCAUGAAUGCCUUUAUAAGGCAGAGCGCGAGAAGAAGUGCAAAGUUGAGAAAGGUGGGCCCUUUUACGAGCCAGUGACACAAUCGGUCCCUACAUCAGCCAGAGCCUAAGCAUGUACCUGAGCUUGAACAAGACCUAUCGGUAUAGGAUGAAGCAGUUGACUAGUUACAUGACAUUACUCCCGCUGGCUAAAACGUAGAUAUAUUCCAAUACUUUCAGGGUGUUGGCGCCAAGGAUUACGAGUAUAGGUACAGGGAAAACCGAGACAUGCAUGCUGAUAUUUUCAGUCUACUUAAGGGUUCGCAGUACACUGCGGUUCGCAAUACAAGAUUUUGACUGGUUAUUAUGAAUAGCAAAACUACCGAAGUAAAUCAAAUGUUUAGUUAUUUUACUUGAUGGUAAAAUUACUUCAGAGGUC